rnacentral:rRNA from 1 species
AUGUAAUUGAUGUAACGCAUCUAAUACUAAGUUUCAACAACGGAUCUCUUGGCUCUCGCAUCGAUGAAGAACGCAGCGAAAUGCGAUAAGUAAUGUGAAUUGCAGAAUUCAGUGAAUCAUCGAAUCUUUGAACGCACCUUGCGCUCCUUGGUAUUCCUUGGAGCAUGCCUGUUUGAGUAUCAU